rnacentral:ncRNA from 1 species
UACCUGGUUGAUCCUGCCAGUAGUCAUAUGCUUGUCUCAAAGAUUAAGCCAUGCAAGUCUAAGUACGAGCUCUCGUACAGUGAAACUGCGAAUGGCUCAUUAAAUCAGUUAUGGUUCAUUUGAUCGUACAGUUUACUUGGAUAACUGUGGUAAUUCUAGAGCUAAUACAUGCGAGAAGCGCCGACCUCGCGGGAGGCGUGCAUUUAUCAGACCAAAAACCGGCCGCGUCUUCGGGCGCGUUCGCCUUGGUGACUCUGGAUAACUUUGCGGAUCGCACGGUCUAGCACCGGCGACGGAUCAUUCAAGUGUCUGCCCUAUCAACUUUCGUCGGUACGGUAUUUGCCUACCGAGGUUCUUACGGGUGACGGGGAAUCAGGGUUGAUUCCGGAGAGGGAGCCCGAGAAUCG